rnacentral:tRNA from 1 species
ACUUUUUUAGUACAAACAAUACAGAUGGCUUCCAACCAUCCAAUUCUGGAUAACCCAGAAAAAAGUA